AAGCUGAAUUAUUAUUGCAUAGCUGUUUUACUGUGCGUACUUAUACUGGCAACUCUCUGGGUCAUGCAAUAAUAUGAACAAAAAAGACAGUAGCAUUGCUUGUUAAUGUUUUUGUGUCUGGUUCCUUCAGGAUCUCCAUACAGAGAUAAGAUCACUAUUGCCAUUCUGCAACUUCAGGAGGAAGGGAAACUGCACAUGAUGAAAGAGAAAUGGUGGCGAGGAAAUGGUUGUCCAGAAGAGGAGAGUAAGGAGGCCAGCGCCCUUGGUGUGCAGAACAUCGGUGGGAUCUUCAUUGUCCUGGCAGCUGGACUUGUUCUCUCUGUGUUUGUGGCUGUUGGAGAGUUCCUGUACAAGUCCAAACAGAAUGCACAGCUGGAAAAGGCCCAAUGGCGAAAACGAGAUAAGAAACGUGAGGAAUUCUGCUGUCACCAUGGAGCCAAGCUAGACUUUAACCACCAUCUCAAAUGACCACAAGGGAACUUCAGAAAUGAUUUGCCUUAAUUUGAGUCUAAUAUCUAAAAUAUAUCUUUUUGUUGUUGGUCUUAAGUUCAUUCAUUUGUUUUACCAUUAAAAAUUUUUCUUACAAUUGCAAAGGAAUGGGUUACUGCUAAAGCAGUUUAAUAAAAUGUUUGAAGUACUUGGACUAAAACACAAUUGGAUGAAAUGCACAUCUGUUCAAGGCUUGCUCCACUGCAUGAAAUAUCUUCAACAGCCUCAUCCAAAACUUCUCACUCUGAGCUGCUUCUGUUCAUUUCUACCCUGCAAGCUCUCACUCUGCUAUUCUGUAACCAAUCUGACUUCAUGUCUUUUGCUUUAAAGGUGAUGGAUGCAGUGACAGAAUACUGUGAUAUUUAACUUCCCACUGAGCUGUCUGGCAGUCACUAGUUGCUAAUACAAUGGCCUGCAAGUUCAGAAAAAGAUGCAUAGAA